UAUGGCCAUAUUCCGUUGAAUGCACUGUUUCUCGUACGAUCACCGAAGAUAAGCAAUGUUGAGUCUGGUCAGUACUUAGAUGGGUGACCGCUUACGAAUACUAGGUGCU